CACAAGGUCAGGAGAUUGAGACCAUCCUGAGUAACACGGUGAAACCCCGUCUGUACAAAAAAUACAAAAAAUUAGCUGGGUGUGGUGGCAUGCGCCUAUAGUCCCAGCUACUCGGGAGGCUGAAGCAAGACAAUCACUUGAACCUGGUAGGCGAAGGUUGGAGUGAGCCGAGAUCGCGCCCCUGCACUCCAGCCUGGGAGAGACAGAGAGAGACUUCCAGUCUUAAAAAAAAAAAAAAGUCGUAUUUAAAAAACAAGGAGUAACUGAAAAAGUAACUAUAUAACUAAUAUAUUACUCUCUGAACUAUGUAACAAAAAUAUUUCUCUACAAAAUACUAUUAUUCCUAUAAUCCAUUUAUUUCUAUAUACCAUGUUUGUGUCACUAUAGGUUGGUAUGUACCCAAUUGUGACUAAACCAAAAGAAACAAAUCUGGAAACUGAAGUAUCAAUACGUGAAAAGCGUUCUUUUGGUAUUGGGAGUGCCAGUUGUCUUUGUUUCAUGAACUACUUCUCCGUAAUAGCAUGCAGCCAUCUUCAAGAGGUGAGAAUUUCACUUAGCGACUUAAACAGAAGUGUUAUCUCAAGAUAAUAUAAUAUCUGGAGGUAAAACAGCAUCCC
rnacentral:lncRNA from 1 species